GUCCCGCAUCGGGCACCUGCAUGGAGCCUGCUUCUCCCUCUGCCUGUGUCUCUGCUCCUCUCUCUGGGUCUCUCAUGAAUAAAUAAAUAAAAUCUUUAAAAAAAAGAAUAAACCCAAAUUCUAACUACAUUUUUGAGUUACUCGCCACUGGGUACUCCAUGAGUUAAGUGUGAUGUACAUGUUACUAAACCUCUGUUUUUCUCUUGUUAAUGCGUCUUUUGUUGGUCUAUUUUGCAGGGACCCAGCUGAUGAACAUGUGAUGGGUAGAAGAAAAGGAAAAUUUUCUUCCUAAAUUUCCUUCCCUACAUAAGUCAGAAAUGUUCUUCAAGUAGCUUCUUUAUAGAAGUAUGCUCUCUAAACCAAGAGGCUCCCAUCAAAUCUUAACAUGGUGAAGACGCUUCAGCAACAGGCCAAAAUAAUAAGCUCAAGGUGCCCAAACCCUUCAGUAGGGGAAAGGACAGUUCUUUUCAACAAAUGAUGCUGAGAAAAACCUGGAUAGCCAUAUGGAGAAGAAUGAAGUGGGACCUUUACCCCCCCCCAGCAUAUAAAAAAAAGUAACUGAAAAUGGAUCCAAACUAUACCACUCUCAGAAGAAAACAUAGGGGAAAACCUCCACGUUGGAUUUGGCAGUGAUGUUUUUGGUUAUGAUGUCAAAAAUAUAGGCAAUAAAAAUAAAAAUAAAUUGGACUGCUCCAAAAUUAGAGACUUCUCUGGAUGAAAGGACACAAUCAAUAGAAUGACAAGGCAACCUAUGGAAAGGGACAAAAUGAGAGUCGUAUUUCCGAUAAGGGGUUAACAUUCAGGAUAUAUAAGGAGCUUCUACAACUCAGUAACCAAAAAACCCCCAGAUAACUUCAUUAAAGAAUGGGCAAAAAAAAAAAAAAAAAAAAAAA